rnacentral:misc_RNA from 1 species
GAUGAAGAACGUAGCGAAAUGCGAUAAGUAAUGUGAAUUGCAGAAUUCAGUGAAUCAUCGAGUCUUUGAACGCACAUUGCGCCCCCUGGUAUUCCGGGGGGCAUGCCUGUCCGAGCGUCAUUGCCGCCCUCAAGCACGGCUUGUGUGUUGGGCCCCCGCCCCCCGGCUUCGGGGGGCGGGCCCGAAAGGCAGCGGCGGCACCGCGUCCGGUCCUCGAGCGAAUGGGGCUUCGUCACCCGCUCUGUAGGCCCGGCCGGCGCCCGCCGGCGACCCCAAUCAAUCUUUCCAGGUUGACCUCGGAUCAGGUAGGGAUACCCGCUGAACUUAAGCAUAUCAAUAAGCGGAGGA